UUGUCUUUUGGAUGCUUAUAUGGUUUACUUGAUUAUUGUAGGCUGUACUUUGCCAAACUUGGGCUUGGAUCCCCUCCAAAAGACUAUUAUGUGCAAGUUGACACAAGAAGUGACAUUCUAUGGGUGAAUUGUGUUGACUGCAAGAGCUGUCCAAAGAAAAGCGGUCUUGGUGGUAUUACCUUUUGUUGCAGUUGGGGAGUAGUUUUGGUUUGCAAUAUAGUUCUUAACCUGUGUGGUUAUAUUCUGUGUUUGCAAUUUGGGAGGGAUAGCAGUGAGCCAAGCAAUAAUAGCCUAGAAGGUGCUCUACUGAUCUGUUUUCUUCUUUUCUUACCCCACCCCACAAUCUGAAUUUGUAACUCCUACCCUUUUUUGAGUAUUUUACCGAAUGACUUUCUUCUAUUGCCCCCUUUAUAUGUGCUUGUUGCUGUCGCUGACACCAUUAUUAAUUUGAGAUAUCAAAAUGAUUGUUUAUCACUGAGAGAAUGUAUUAUUUGUCAUGACCUGGCUCCAACGUCUUACUGUAAAGUAUUCUUUGAGGAA